AUACGGAGGGUGCAAGCGUUACUCGGAAUCACUGGGCGUAAAGCGCGCGCAGGCGGCCUGAUAAGUUGGAUGUGAAAGCCUACGGCUCAACCGUAGAACUGCAUCCAAAACUGUCAGGCUAGAGUGUGGGAGAGGAAGAUGGAAUUAGUUGUGUAGGGGUAAAAUCCGUAGAGAUAACUAGGAAUACCAAAAGCGAAGGCAAUCUCCUGGAACACUACUGACGCUCAGGCGCGAAGGCGUGGGGAGCAAACAGGAUUAGAAACCCCAGUAGUCC
rnacentral:rRNA from 1 species